rnacentral:rRNA from 1 species
UACGUAGGGUGCGAGCGUUGUCCGGAAUUAUUGGGCGUAAAGAGCUCGUAGGUGGCUUGUCACGUCGGGUGUGAAAGCUUGGGGCUUAACUCCAGGUCUGCAUUCGAUACGGGCUGGCUAGAGGUAGGUAGGGGAGAACGGAAUUCCUGGUGUAGCGGUGAAAUGCGCAGAUAUCAGGAGGAACACCGGUGGCGAAGGCGGUUCUCUGGGCCUGUACUGACGCUGAGGAACGAAAGCGUGGGGAGCGAACAGG